rnacentral:SRP_RNA from 1 species
UCUAUGCUACCCAGCUACUUGGGAGGCUGAGGGUGGAGGAUCACUUGAGUCCAGGAGUUCUGGGCUGCAGUGUGCUAUGCCAAUUGGGUAUCCACAAUAAGUUUGGCAUCAAUGUGGUGACCUCCCCAGAGUUGGGGACCACCACGUUGCCUAAGGAGUGGUGAACUGGCCCAGAUCAGAAACACAGUAGGUCAACAUUCCCGUGCUGAUUCAAUUUCUUCUAUGGUAUUGUUUCCUGCCUUUGUUUUGCUUGGGCUAAGGGCCUGAGAAUGCAUUUUGCUCCUUCUCUU